CUGUGAACGAGAGGGAGCCGAGGGCUUCGUCUUCCCAGCAACAGGCGCUCGUGCCUCAGAGGCACGACAGAUUCCUAGGCGCUGCUUGAGUGUGACGUGUUUCCCAACUGCCACUACCCUCUUCAAAGUACUGACCUUGCAUAGUUUAAGCUAUUGUAUUCUUACCGCAUUAUCGGUUCGUCAUCUUUAUCGAUUCAUUUCCUUGCAUGCUUUCUACAGGCUGCCUCUGCAAGCCUCAGGAGGACAGUGCUCCUAAACUUGCCUGCACUUUACAUCACAUGGGGAUCUUCUAAAAAUUCCAAGCCCAGAGCAUACCCCAGGCCAAUUAAAUCACAAUUCCCUAGCGGUGGGAAACAGGUAUCAGUAGUUUUGGAAACUCUCCAGGUGAUUCCAAUGUGCAGAAAAGUUUGGGAACCACUGCCCUAAGGCCUUGCUGCUCAAAGUGUGGACUGUGGACCAGCAGCAUCACUAGAAAUCAGAACCUCUAACUACUUGAAUCAGAGAUCUCUGGGUGAUUUGACACACAUUAAGAUUUGGGAAGCACUGUUUAGAGGCCUGAAUGGAUAUGGGUAUCUUGAUUUAUGAGGACCACGUGUUUAAAGGAUGUCCUUGGAUGAGGAUAACAACGACAGGAUGGAUUGUGUGACCUUCCACCAGCUCCAGGCUUUCAAGGAGAAACGACAGUGGGAGAAGGUCUGUGGAGCACCCAUUACUCUUCUACACACCCUCUGAAAUUCAGUCGGAAGUGCACAUUGAUGAUCCCACGUACUGGGAUCAAAUCAAAUUAUCUAAAAGAACUAAAUCCUCCAAUGACUUGAACAGAAAGUCAAGCGCUGCGUGUUUUCUGCAACUUUGAGGAAAGAAGAACUCAAAAGAAAGCUGAGGAAAUCCACUAGAUCAUUGAUUCUCCAAGUGCGGUCCACGGAUCCCUGGGCACUUUCGGGGGGUCCUUCAGGUUUUCCCUUUCCAACUGCACUUCUGUGGGAGGCCCGGCUUUUGUAAAUGUGUCAGCCCAACCAACAGACUACGACACAUUGAAGCAGAUGUGAGAACCCAGCUGUUAAAGAGAUUUGCCAACUAGAAAGCAAGACGUUAAAGAGAUGGCAAAAAUGGAAAAGCACUGCAACUCUUUUCACUAAGUGUUUGGCUGUUUCAGAAAAUAUAAUUAUUUUUGAUAAAAAUAUUUAUAUUAACACGUAAAGGAUUUAUUACUGUUAUUUCCAAGUGAAUUAAUAUCUUUUAAGUUCCUUGGUUUUUGUUUCUAAUCCAGUAAAUAUGGGUAAGUAUAACCCACAUAAACAAAAGCUCUUUGGGGUCCUCAAUGACUUUUAGGAAUGUAAAGAGGUCCUGAGAUCAAAAAGUUUCAGAGCUGCUGCACUAGAAAGACGUGAAAACAUUUCACUGUAAACAUGGCUCAUUGCUCUAACCUUCUUUUUGAAGACUGGGGGCUAACUUGAACCUUUGGAUAACAACAGGGAUUUUCCUCAAACUGCUUGUGAGGCCCUCCAAGGCCUAAACCUUAAAUUAGCCUUUGAUCAAAGACACGUGAUGUACAAAGAAUGAAGAAUUGUAGAAAUCCAUCGAGCCCAGGAAAAUGGCAAGGAGGCAAGAUAAGUCAUUUACCAAAGAGGAUGAAUCUCCAGAGAUCCAUCCAAAUUGUGUGCAUCAGUUGUUGGUUCUUUUUCGUUGCUGAAUAGUAUUCCAAGGUAUAGAUGUACCACAGUUUGUUUCACUAUUCACUUAUUGAAGGACAAUCUAAGUUGGUUG
rnacentral:lncRNA from 1 species